AUUCGCCCUUAGAGUUUGAUCCUGGCUCAGGAUGAACGCUGGCGGCGUGCUUAACACAUGCAAGUCGAACGAGAAUCCGGGGAAGGAGGCUUCGGCCAACGGAACUGGAGGAAAGUGGCGGACGGGUGAGUAACGCGUGAGUAACCUGCCUUGGAGAGGGGAAUAACACAUCGAAAGAUGUGCUAAUACCGCAUGAAAUGUCUGAAUCGCAUGGUUCUGGACAUCAAAGAUUUAUCGCUCUGAGAUGGACUCGCGUCUGAUUAGCUGGUUGGCGGGGUAACGGCCCACCAAGGCGACGAUCAGUAGCCGACCUGAGAGGGUGGCCGGCCACAUUGGGACUGAGACACGGCCCAAACUCCUACGGGAGGCAGCAGUGGGGAAUAUUGCACAAUGGGGGAAACCCUGAUGCAGCAACGCCGCGUGAGUGAAGAAGUAUUUCGGUAUGUAAAGCUCUAUCAGCAGGGGAGAAAAAAGACGGUACCUGACUAAGAAGCCCCGGCUAACUACGUGCCAGCAGCCGCGGUAAUACGUAGGGGGCAAGCGUUAUCCGGAUUUACUGGGUGUAAAGGGAGCGUAGACGGCAUAGCAAGU
rnacentral:rRNA from 1 species